CGUGCCAUCUGUCCUCUGCAAGCUUGGCAAGUACUUCUAUCUGUGACUUGGGGGAGACUUAGGGUGUCCAUUACUGACGCAUCUCCCUUUUCUAGGACUAGCAUUUUAUUUUUUUAUUUUGCAGCGAGCUAGCACUAGCACUAGAGGCUUUUCAAAGAAACAACGCAAAUGCCUUGCGUACGACAUAUCGCGUACGAUAUGCGUACGACCAGACUCACAAGUUACUGCAUGGUGAUGUUCCCACUGACUGACAGCAGGUUGAUCAGAGUCUAAUCGUAUCAAAAUGUUGUACAAAUUUAAUCGUACGUAUAGCAUGGCUGAA
rnacentral:lncRNA from 1 species